GUGCUUGCUUCAGCAGCACAUAUCCUAAAACUGGAACAAUACAGAGGAGAUUAGCAUGGUCCCUGAGCAAGGAUGACAAGCAAAUUCACGAAGUGUUCCAUAUUUUU